rnacentral:rRNA from 1 species
AGCAGCCGCGGUAAUUCCAGCUCCAAUAGCGUAUAUUAAAGUUGCUGCAGUUAAAAAGCUCGUAGUUGAAUUUCGGGACCAAUAUGUCGGUCGUGCCUCGGUACGUACUGGCAUCGUUGGUUUCUCCCUUCUGACGAACCAUGAUGUCAUUUAUUUGGUGUCGUGGGGAAUCAGGACUGUUACUUUGAAAAAAUUAGAGUGUUUAAAGCAGGCUCACGCUUGAAUACAUUAGCAUGGAAUAAUGAAAUAGGACGUUUGAUUCUAUUUUGUUGGUUUCUAGGAUCGACGUAAUGAUUAAUAGGGAUAGUUGGGGGCAUUAGUAUUCAAUUGUCAGAGGUGAAAUUCUUGGAUUUAUUGAAGACUAACUACUGCGAAAGCAUUUGCCAAGGAUGUUUUCAUUAAUCAAGAACGAAAGUUAGGGGAUCGAAGACGAUACAGAUACCGUCGUAGUCUUAACCAUAAACUAUGCCGACUAGGGAUCGGAUGAUGUUAAUUUUUUAAUGACUCAUUCGGCGCCUUA